GUCCGUGGCACGGUAAACUCCACCCGGAGCAAGGCCAAAUAGGGGUUCAUAAGGUACGGCCCGUACUGAACCCGGGUAGGCUGCUUGAGCCAGUGAGCGAUUGCUGGCCUAGAUGAAUGACUGUCCACGACAGAACCCGGCUUAUCGGUCAGUUUCACCU
rnacentral:RNase_P_RNA from 1 species